GAUGAAGAACGCAGCGAAAUGCGAUAAGUAGUGUGAAUUGCAGAAUUCAGUGAAUCAUCGAGUCUUUGAACGCACAUUGCGCCCCUUGGUAUCCCGAGGGGCAUGCCUGUUCGAGCGUCAUUUCACCACUCAAGCCUGGCUUGGUGUUGGGCGACGUCCCCUUUGGGGACGCGCCUCGAAACGCUCGGCGGCGUGGCACCGGCUUUAAGCGUAGCAGAAUCUUUCGCUUUGGAAGUCGGGGCCCCGUCUGCCGGAAGACCUACUCGCAAGGUUGACCUCGGAUCAGGCAGGGAUACCCGCUGAACUUAAGCAUAUCAAUAAGCGGAGGA
rnacentral:misc_RNA from 1 species